AGUGAACGCUGGCGGUAGGCCUAACACAUGCAAGUCGAACGGCAGCACAGUAAGAGCUUGCUCUUACGGGUGGCGAGUGGCGGACGGGUGAGGAAUACAUCGGAAUCUACUUUUUCGUGGGGGAUAACGUAGGGAAACUUACGCUAAUACCGCAUACGACCUACGGGUGAAAGCAGGGGAUCUUCGGACCUUGCGUGAUUGAAUGAGCCGAUGUCGGAUUAGCUAGUUGGCGGGGUAAAGGCCCACCAAGGCGACGAUCCGUAGCUGGUCUGAGAGGAUGAUCAGCCACACUGGAACUGAGACACGGUCCAGACUCCUACGGGAGGCAGCAGUGGGGAAUAUUGGACAAUGGGCGCAAGCCUGAUCCAGCCAUACCGCGUGGGUGAAGAAGGCCUCCGGGUUGUAAAGCCCUUUUGUUGGGAAAGAAAAGCAGCAGGUUAAUACCCCGCUGUUCUGACGGUACCCAAAGAAUAAGCACCGGCUAACUUCGUG
rnacentral:rRNA from 1 species